AGAGGUCGAAAACUAUACCUGCAGAUUUUGCUUGCAAACAUGGAAAACAAAACGGUGGGCAUGCAGUCCCUCACAACAAAAGAGCAACAAAAACGCAGCUCUUAACAGUAAUAGAAAUCUAGACUCAAAGUUCUGGAUGUAACAAUGAGAAAGCAUGUAACUUUGCUGUUAAUGGAAAAGUGGCGUCCCGAAACAGAAGUAGAAACAGAUUUUUAAGGGAAAACAAAAAAACAAACCAAAAUCUUUUUCACAGUUUGCUUAUAUAGACCCCUCAAACUUGGAGACCAGCCUCAUGCCUCCUUAUCCCAGCCGUCUGCAUUAGGGCUGAAAUCACAGCCAUUAGAUGGCGUGAGGCUCCCCCCCGUGUCUUCUUCCACAGCUGGCACAGAGGAGGUGCAAAAAACCGUUUCCCUUGACUGGAGCUCUGUGUUGCAGCUGCACAGGCGUGAAAAGGGGGGCUGUCCAGACAAGCCAGGUUGCAGAGGGAAGGACGAUAGUUUUUUUCAAAAAAUAGCAGGGAAU
rnacentral:lncRNA from 1 species